CAUAACGAACACGACCGGUAACAAUUUCGUGUACAUUUCCAAGAGAUGAAGCUAAUCUGGAUUUUAUCAACCUUCCUGGCAACCACGUCCUGUGGUGUGGUGGAUUAUACACGAUGUGGUGGAUCUGGAACUAUUUGGCAGCUGCGGGUAACGGAUUGUGAGGGUCCACUCUGUUACAUGAAGGCUGGGACGUCAUAUCCCAUUCAAUGGAUAUGACUCCCAAUAUCCCGAUACCUUCCCUGCGCCUCAAAGUACGCGCAAUUUACCUGGGUCACCAAGUGACCAUUAUUGACGCCGUUCUCGACAAUUCGUCCAUCCAGCCCGGGACGACGUACACGAUCCAGUACACCCUCACGCCGUACGAGGUCGUGUGUGAGAACACGAUGCGGGUUAGUGCCGAGUUAUCGAAUACAGCAAGCGGCGUUGUCGAGGUGUGCGUCGCAUUUCAAGUGCAUGUGUCUUGUGACGAGGAGGAGGAGGCAGGCAUGCCGUUGGUUAUUAAAUAAUGUCUCGUGUUGAUCAUACCUGUCCAAUUUUUUCCUUCAUUCAUAAUUUAUUCAUUCUAUGAAUAAUUCAUUCGUUCAUUCAUUUGUCCCAUGUACUUAAGAUGCAGCAAAAAAAUGAAUGAAUAAAAAACACUCAUUCAUAUUGAAAUCUUGAACUAUUCAUUCAUUAAAUGAAUUAUUCACUCAUUCAUUUUUCAUUUCUUAGUAAUUAAAUGAACGUUAACAGCGAUGUUAUUGAUGAAGAAAUCAAUACAAUAACUAACUAACUAAUAAAUCAAUACAAUACAAUAGUAAGUAUGAUGACGUGAAAGUUGACAAAGUUUGGGGCUCUCAGGAUUUUCAAUUUUGUUAGAUUUGUAAAUUUUGUUAAUAAAUCGAUCAUUGGAGGAUAGCAAAAUAAAUAUUUUAGUUAAGAAAUAAAAAUAUUGUCACACUUUGCAAAAUUUAUUUUUUUUAGGAUUCCAAAAUUUUAGUAGAACACUCUCAUAAACCAAUUAAAUACUUGAUUUUGAAUAUUUUCAACAAUUGGCUAUGUACAUUAUCAAAAUUAAUACAUAUGUAUUCGUCCACCUCAUGGAUUCCCAUUUUCUGCCCCUCGAACUGUCCCAUUCCUCCUGUGACUCAUCAUAUUAAUCCAAUUCGUUCUGUAUAUUUUCCUCCAAGUGUAAAGAAAAUUAUUUCCCGACAUUUUCCAAAUUACCACGCCCCCAACAA